rnacentral:rRNA from 1 species
AUACGGAGGGUGCAAGCGUUAAUCGGAAUUACUGGGCGUAAAGCGCGCGUAGGCGGUUUAGUAAGUUGGAUGUGAAAGCCCAGGGCUCAACCUUGGAACUGCAUUCAAAACUGCUAGACUAGAGUACGGUAGAGGGGGGUAGAAUUCCACGUGUAGCGGUGAAAUGCGUAGAGAUGUGGAGGAAUACCAGUGGCGAAGGCGGCCCCCUGGAUCGAUACUGACGCUGAGGUGCGAAAGCGUGGGGAGCAAACAGGAUUAGAAACCCCGGUAGUCC